rnacentral:rRNA from 1 species
ACGGAGGGUGCGAGUGUUAUUCGGAAUCACUGGGCGUAAAGAGCACGUAGGAGGAUCGGUAAGUCAGAUGUGAAAUCACGGAGCUCAACUCCGGAACUGCAUUUGAUACUGCCAGUCUUGAGUGAGGUAGAGGGGGGUGGAAUUCACGGUGUAGAGGUGAUAUUCUUAGAUAUCGGAAGGAACACCAGAGGGGAGGGCAACCCCCUGAGCCUGUACUGGCGCUGAGGUGCGGAAUCGUGGGGAGCAAACAG